ACGUAGGGGACGAGCGUUGUCCGGAUUCAUUGGGCGUAAAGCGCGCGUAGGCGGCUCGGAAAGUCGGUCGUGAAAUCCCCGGGCUCAACCCGGGAACUGCGUCCGAUACUGGAAGGCUUGAAUCCGGGAGAGGGAUGCGGAAUUCCAGGUGUAGCGGUGAAAUGCGUAGAUAUCUGGAGGAACACCGGUGGCGAAGGCGGCAUCCUGGACCGGCAUUGACGCUGAGGCGCGAAAGCCAGGGGAGCAAACGGGA
rnacentral:rRNA from 1 species